GUUUACUGAACAAAGAGACCCUAUGGCUGAAAAGAACUUGGACAGUUAGAAUGAUAUCACCUGCCUCACUCUUCUAGAACCAAGGAUAUUUUAUUUGAAAAAAGAAGACAAACAGUCCAUAUCCCCAUCUUUCAACUGGAGUCUUUCUUCUUCACACAUCCCCCACUUGCCUUGCAACAGCAGGAUGCAGUCCUGAUAACCAUAUCAUUUUUGCCAGAGCCACAGGAAAAUGCCACUGGAUCACUCCCUUGGCCCUGGGGGCUGAACUUUGCCGAAGAUGGGAAUGAAGGUGCAAGUCAAGAUAUCACCCUCGUUAUGUCACAGGUCUUCUCAAGAACAAAGGAUGAACAACAUCAACAACAAGAACAACAACUCUGUGAUGCUGUGAACUUCCUUUUAUCUUGCCUUUUUUUUGAAAGGAAAGACACAUUAAACAUUAAACCACUGUCUGUAAACAUCAAAA